AGCAGCCGCGGUAAUUCCAGCUCCAAUAGCGUAUAUUAAAGUUGUUGCAGUUAAAAAGCUCGUAGUUGAAUUCCGAGAUCAAUUUGUCGGUCGUGCCUCGGUACGUACUGGCAUUAUUGAUUUCUCCCUUCUGAAGAACCGCGAUGUCAUUAAUUUGGUGUCGUGGGGAAUCAGGACUGUUACUUUGAAAAAAUUAGAGUGUUUAAAGCAGGCGCACGCUUGAAUACAUUAGCAUGGAAUAAUGAAAUAGGACGUUUGAUUCUAUUUUGUUGGUUUCUAGGAUCGACGUAAUGAUUAAUAGGGAUAGUUGGGGGCAUUAGUAUUCAAUUGUCAGAGGUGAAAUUCUUGGAUUUAUUGGAUUUAUUGAAGACUAACUACUGCGAAAGCAUUUGCCAAGGAUGUUUUCAUUAAUCAAGAACGAAAGUUAGGGGAUCGAAGACGAUCAGAUACCGUCGUAGUCUUAACCAUAAACUAUGCCGACUAGGGAUCGGAUGAUGUUAAUUUUUAAUGACUC
rnacentral:rRNA from 1 species